rnacentral:rRNA from 1 species
UACGUAGGGGGCUAGCGUUGUCCGGAAUCAUUGGGCGUAAAGCGCGUGUAGGCGGUCCGAUAAGUCCGCUGUGAAAGUCGGGGGCUCAACCCUCGGAUGCCGGUGGAUACUGUCAGGCUUGAGUACGGAAGAGGCGAGUGGAAUUCCUGGUGUAGCGGUGAAAUGCGCAGAUAUCAGGAGGAACACCAAUUGCGAAGGCAGCUCGCUGGGACGUUACUGACGCUGAGACGCGAAAGCGUGGGGAGCAAACGGG